rnacentral:tRNA from 1 species
GCCGCCGUAGCUCAGCAGGGAGGCAAAAGCCCCAAAGCGCUCGGCUGAAGACCGAGUUGUCGUGGGUUCAAAUCCCACCGGCGGCACCA